rnacentral:rRNA from 1 species
AGAACUUAGCAGAGAUGCUUUGGUGGCCUUCGGGGAACUCUGAGACAGGUGCUGCAUGGCUGUCGUCAGCUCGUGUUGUGAAAUGUUGGGUUAAGUCCCGCAACGAGCGCAACCCUUAUCCUUUGUUGCCAGCGGGUUAUGCCGGGAACUCAAAGGAGACUGCCAGUGAUAAACUGGAGGAAGGUGGGGAUGACGUCAAGUCAUCAUGGCCCUUACGAGUAGGGCUACACACGUGCUACAAUGGCGCAUACAAAGAGAAGCGACCUCGCGAGAGCAAGCGGACCUCAUAAAGUGCGUCGUAGUCCGGAUUGGAGUCUGCAACUCGACUCCAUGAAGUCGGAAUCGCUAGUAAUCGUAGAUCAGAAUGCUACGGUGAAUACGUUCCCGGGCCUUGUACACACCGCCCGUCACACCAUGGGAGUGGGUUGCAAAAGAAGUAGGUAGCCUAACCUUCGGGAGGGCGCUUACCACUUUGUGAUUCAUGACUGGGGUGAAGUCGUAACAAGGUAAGCGUAGUGCU